rnacentral:lncRNA from 1 species
UUUGGCUUAUUUUAAAUCAUCCUCCUCAAUUAGGGAGAAAUUCAGAACAUGGAUUGGACCAAACUGAGCCCCAUAUUUUGCUGUUAUGUCUGCUCUAUGGAUCCCUAAGGAGAUGUGAUCUUUCCCCCAUCAAGUGACCAUUGCAAUGCAUGACUGCAACUUCUCUAGGAACACCGAAAGAAACUUUAAAAGCAACAUGGAACUAAAGGAGUAAAUUGUCUGAAGAAGAGGAUGAUCUGGAAAAAGAUGAUUUUGGAACUGAGAUGACUACAUAGAACAUUUGACAUCUGAGAAAACAGUUUGCUGACAUUGGGGAUGGGCUAUGCAAAGAAGACUAAUGUUAGUUAAUAUUGUUAAUUGA